UACAGGGGGUGCAAACGUUGCUCGGAAUUAUUGGGCGUAAAGCGCGCGUAGGCGGCUACUUAAGUCGGAUGUGAAAGCCCCUGGCUCAACCGGGGAAGUGCACCCGAAACUGAGUAGCUUGAGUACAAAAGAGGGUCGCGGAAUUCCCGGUGUAGAGGUGAAAUUCGUAGAUAUCGGGAGGAACACCGGUGGCGAAGGCGGCGACCUGGGUUGAUACUGACGCUGAGGCGCGAAAGCGUGGGGAGCAAACAGG
rnacentral:rRNA from 1 species